AAGCAGAGGGGGCUUAGUGGUGGGGUGACUGCGUACCUUUUGUAUAAUGGGUCAGCGACUUAUAUUCUGUAGCAAGGUUAACCGAAUAGGGGAGCCGGAGGGAAACCGAGUCUUAAUUGGGCGUUAAGUUGCAGGGUAUAGACCCGAAACCCGGUGAUCUAGCCAUGGGCAGGUUGAAGGUUGGGUAACACUAACUGGAGGACCGAACCGGCUAAUGUUGAAAAAUUAGCGGAUGACCUGUGGCUGGGGGUGAAAGGCCAAUCAAACCGGGAGAUAGCUGGUUCUCCCCGAAAGCUAUUUAGGUAGCGCCUCGUGAAUUCAUCUCCGGGGGUAGAGCACUGUUUCGGCUAGGGGGCCAUCCCGGCUUACCAACCCGAUGCAAACUGCGAAUACCGGAGAAUGCUAUCACGGGAGACACACGGCGGGUGCUAACGUCCGUCGUGAAGAGGGAAACAACCCAGACCGCCAGCUAAGGUCCCAAAGUCAUGGUUAAGUGGGAAACGAUGUGGGAAGGCCCAGACAGCCAGGAUGUUGGCUUAGAAGCAGCCAUCAUUUAAAGAAAGCGUAAUAGCUCACUGGUCGAGUCGGCCUGCGCGGAAGAUGUAACGGGGCUAAACCAUGCACCGAAGCUGCGGCAGCGACGCU
rnacentral:rRNA from 1 species